CUUCCGUCCCCUUGCUCUCUCUCUCUCGUUUCCCCUCGCCGAACCCACCACCGCACCCCACGCCGCCGCCUUCCCUACCCUUCUCGCCUCCGCCUCCACGCGCGGCCGUCGGAGGCGCCCACGCGGCCGCUUGAUCCAAGGUCAGAUCCGAACCCCAGCCCGGUCCGAAUCGCGCCGAUAUUUUUUCUAGGUUUUGGUACGGAUCUAGGGUUUGCCGCGGAAUUUCGGGUGAGGGGGUUCGUUCGAUUCUCUCAUGGCCGCUGGGCACCACGGAGGGCACAGGGACUACGAGGCGAGGGAGCGGGAGCUCGACGCGGUGGCCUCCAGGAGGAGCAAGGAGCACCACCACCACCUCGGCGGCCGCCACCGCGAGGCCGACUGCCGCCGCGACGGCGGUCACAGCAGGGGUGGCAGGGUGUUCGCCAAUGGCCACGGCCGCUGCCGCUCGCCGCCACACAGGAGCCGCCUCGUGGGGAGGCUUGGGGAUCGGGAGCCCGGUGAGGUGCUGAGCGGCAGCGCGUCUGAUGACUCUGGUGGGAGGCCUCAUAGAGCCAGGGAGAAUGGCGUGUCCAGUUCUAGCAGGGAGGGCGAGGUGGCGGCUGCAGCCACGGCGGUGGGUGCCGCAGUCCCGUCACUGAGCAAGAAGAGGAAAUUCUCACCAAUAAUUUGGGACAGGGAUAGCCCAAAGCCGCCACAUUCUGAUGCAGCAAAGGGCAAGAAAGUAGUAGAAUCCAUGCCUGCUGAGCUUCCUCCGCCUCCCCCGCUGCCUCUGCAUGACCACAGCCCAGUUAUGUUGGAUGUGGAGCCUACUGCUGGUAUAGAGAGUGCUGAACAGUUGCAGGAGCAUGAGGCCAAUAGAGUGCUGGAGGAGGAAGAGGAGUAUCCAAGAAUGAGGAACAUAUCAACUUCAAGAUGGGCGGGUGCUAAUGACGACGAGGAAGACGGGGCAGCACCUACGAAGAAGAAAAGUGCAUCGCCUGCAGACUCCGCUGAGUUGAGGCAGAGGAAAAAGGCUACUAGCCUAGAACUUGGUGAGGUUGUGGUCAGUGAUAUCUCUGGAGGGAGGACCAUGUCUAGGUCCUCUGACUCUGGGAGAAUGGGUAAUGACGAGAAUGAAGAUUAUGAAGUAGAUAAAGAUGACUAUAUGGAUGUUGACAGGGAGCAGGCUAGUGACAGUGAUGCAGAAAAUCAUAUGUCAGAUACUGACUCAGAGAAUGAAGCGCACAGACCUGAGACCCCUGAACCAGUAAAGCCACCACACAGGUGUAUCAAUAUGCUUCAAGGUUGCAGAAGUGUUGAUGAGUUUGAGCAGCUCAACAAGAUUAAUGAAGGCACAUAUGGUGUUGUAUACAGAGCGGAGGAUAAGAAGACAGGUGAGAUUGUGGCGUUGAAGAAGGUAAAGAUGGAGAAGGAGCGAGAAGGUUUCCCAUUAACCUCUCUUAGGGAAAUAAACAUUAUCUUGUCUUUCCAUCAUCCUUCCAUUGUUGAUGUUAAGGAAGUAGUAGUUGGAUCUAGUCUAGAUAGUAUUUUUAUGGUGAUGGAGUACAUGGAACAUGAUCUUAAGGGCGUCAUGGAAACAAUGAAACAACCAUAUACCCAAAGUGAGGUCAAAUGUUUGAUGCUUCAGCUGUUAGAGGGUGUAAAGUAUCUACAUGACAAUUGGGUACUUCAUAGGGACCUGAAGACCUCAAAUCUUUUGCUGAAUAACCGCGGUGAGUUGAAAAUAUGUGAUUUUGGACUGUCUCGUCAAUAUGGGAGCCCACUAAAACCUUAUACUCAAUUGGUUGUGACUUUGUGGUACAGGGCCCCAGAACUAUUGCUAAAAACAAAGGAGUAUUCUACUGCUAUUGAUAUGUGGUCCGUGGGUUGCAUAAUGGCAGAGCUUCUUGCCAAAGAACCAUUAUUCAAUGGAAAAUCAGAACUUGAACAGCUACAUAAGAUAUUUACAACACUUGGCACGCCUGAUGAGAUGAUUUGGCCUGGAUAUGCCAAAUUACCAGGUGUCAAAGCCAAUUUUGUCAAACAACCGUGUAACAGGCUAAGGGAUAAGUUCCCAGCUGUAUCUUUUUCUGGGCGACCAAUCCUGUCUGAAGCUGGUUUUGAUCUGUUGAACGGACUGUUAACUUAUGAUCCUGAUAAGCGUAUCUCAGCAGAUGAUGCUCUGAAGCACAAAUGGUUCUCUGAAGUUCCUCUACCUAAAUCCAAGGACUUCAUGCCGACAUUCCCUGCUCUUAACGAAUUGGACAGGCGUACCAAAAGGUAUUUGAAGAGUCCUGACCCUCUAGAGGAGCAACGUUUGAAAGAACUGCAAGGGAACAUAGGCGACCGUGGGCUUUUUGGCUGACUAAAACUCCUUGCUUGGGUUUUCUGUUCGUACUAACUGUUAUGCUUUAUCCUGAAUCAGCAAGGUCAGAUAUCUUCUGAGGUGAGAUGUGCCAUGGCCAUGAAGUAUCACAUCUUCUCGGUGUCUAGCAGAGACUGAUAGUGUUGUUUAGCAGGCUUGGUGCCGGUUUAAGUGGAUAAGGUUUAUGUUGCAGGAUUAACACUCUCCAUCAAGAUUGAUCAUAAAAGGAAAUAUAUUCUGCCUGCAUCGUAAGCUAAGCUGUGGCUGCUUCAAGAUAGGAAGCUUGAUGGCUGUCAGCUUGUUGUACCUAAGUGACUAAAUUUUGUGGAGGGCCUUCAAAAGUGUUCAUCUUUUACUAUAGUGAACCAUAGUGGUUGUUGCUUAUCUUCAGAUGACAGUUCUAUCUUAGGUUACUGAAAAACAAUAUUUCUGUCUUGCAAACUUGCAAAUGUGCACCCCCCCCCCCCAAGAUAUAUAUUAGUGAAUCAGGGGAAAAUUAGUAUGCUGAGUAUUGCUCUAUGUUCCGUGCCAUUUGAUCGUAUCCUUUCUUUCAUUAAGUUUUUGGUGAGCUUUACAUGGAAUAGAGCUUUUUGGGGUGCAUAAAUUCUGUGCUUCAAAACUUAUGUUGUCCAAGAGAUGUUUGUCGCGGCUCUUGUGUAGUUUUAUUCCGCAUUAUGGCUCACGUAGAUUUACUGGACAAUUUUUGAUAGGUGGUUUGCAGGUCCACAAAUUUUAGCUUAUCUUCCGUACCUUGUGAUGGUUGAUGCUUCCACCAAAUAUUGCACUUGGAUUGCCAACUGCCGCCUGCGAGGUGCACUGAGCCGCUGAUCUCGCUUGCUCGCCCUGGAGUGGCCUCCAGGAUUGCUUUGUCAUUUCAGCGUCGCUCCCUUAAGCCGCGUGCGUUGUGUUCGCUCAAGACAUCCUCGUCUCAGGUCUUCCACGGGGCUUGCUCACAGUCCGUGCCGGGGCUCGGGUGAGAUGAGAUCACGUCGGAGGCUGAUAUUGCAAGGCAGCUCACAGUCUGCAUGGAAAAAGUGGAACUACAUGCAUCAUCGCAAGAGAAAAGUAGCAUAUGCACGAACUAACACAUACCCGGAGGCCGGAGCGGCAGUGUGGACCGCUCGAAAGUGCAUUGUGUGGACGCCCCUCUCUAAGAAAAAUAAAUAAAGCGUAGCGUGUAAUGUACUGCUACUUUACUUUUUGCAUCUGGAGGAAUGAUCCAUGUGACUACUGCCUAUUCGAUAUGACAGGGGUAAAAAUAUGUUAAGCAUC